rnacentral:rRNA from 1 species
AGUGAACGCUGGCGGCAGGCCUAACACAUGCAAGUCGAGCGGCAGCGGGUCCCCGCGAGGGGAUGCCGGCGAGCGGCGGACGGGUGAGGAACACAUCGGAAUCUGCCUGGUUGUGGGGGAUAACGUAGGGAAACUUACGCUAAUACCGCAUGAGACCCUGAGUCGACGGACUGGGGGUGAAAGUGAGGGACCUUCGGGCCUCACGCGACCAGAUGAGCCGAUGUCGGAUUAGCUAGUUGGCGGGGUAACGGCCCGCCAAGGCGACGAUCCGUAGCUGGUCUGAAAGGAUGAUCAGCCACACUGGGACUGAGACACGGCCCAGACUCCUACGGGAGGCAGCAGUGGGGAAUCUUGGACAAUGGGCGCAAGCCUGAUCCAGCCAUGCCGCGUGGGUGAAGAAGGCC